rnacentral:misc_RNA from 1 species
CCAAUAGCGUAUAUUAAAGUUGUUGCAGUUAAAAAGCUCGUAGUUGAACUUCGGGGUUUACUCAUUGGUCAGGCUUAAUUGUCUGUACUGGUGAGAUGAAUCUCUACCUUCUGAGGAACUUUCAUGUCAUUUAUUUGGUGUGAUUGGAAAUCAGGACUGUUACUUUGAAAAAAUUAGAGUGUUUAAAGCAGGCUAACGUCUGAAUACAUUAGCAUGGAAUAAUGAAAUAGGACAGACUGAUUCUAUUUCGUUGGUUUCUAGGAUCACCGUAAUGAUUAAUAGGGAUAGUUGGGGGCAUUAGUAUUCAAUUGUCAGAGGUGAAAUUCUUGUAUUUAUUGAAGACUAACUACUGCGAAAGCAUUUGCCAAGGAUGUUUUCAUUAAUCAAGAACGAAAGUUAGGGGAUCGAAGACGAUCAGAUACCGUCGUAGUCUUAACCAUAAACUAUGCCGACUAGGGAUCGGACGAAGUUAAUUUUAUAAUGACGCGUUCGGCACCUUACG